GACGGAGGAUGCAAGUGUUAUCCGGAAUCACUGGGCGUAAAGCGUCUGUAGGUGGUUUAAAAAGUCUACUGUUAAAGCUUGAAGCUUAACUUCAAAAAUGCCGUAGAAACUUUUAAACUUGAGUAUGGUAGGGGCAGAGGGAAUUUCCGGUGGAGCGGUGAAAUGCGUAGAGAUCGGAAAGAACACCAACGGCGAAAGCACUCUGCUGGGCCGACACUGACACUGAGAGACGAAAGCUAGGGGAGCGAAUGGG
rnacentral:rRNA from 1 species